GUCAGAAUUACUUAGAAAUUAACUAGUUUAACCGAUAACUAAAAGCAAAAAACUCAAAGUUUCCCGUGCAAUGAAUAAGCGGUGUUUUCCUGUUCCCAGAUAUGUAAAAUUCAGACAAUGCUGCGUUUUCAUAGAACUUGUGGUUUUCUGCGGGUUCUGACCGAAAAGAUGCACUUUUUGGCAUCUCCAGAGAACGACAUCAGAUUUCUUUUUCAACGUAC
rnacentral:lncRNA from 1 species